rnacentral:lncRNA from 1 species
UGUGGGUCUCAGCACCCUUUGGCAAUAACCAGCUCCUGCUGUCCUGCUGGCCGGUUCAUCUCUGCUCCUGGAGCAUGGCUGGGAACACCAGCUGGCCCCUCAGGCUUCCUGCCAAAUCACUGCAAAAGGCACCAAAAGACUCAGCACCCCGAGGGUUGGCAGUAGGUGCAGGCAUUGUCUGAGCUCAGCUCCUGUGAAGGAGGAUUACGCUGAUUUCAGCGGUGUCUCGUUCUGUGCUCAGCAAAAUCCCUUGGGCCUGGGUUAGGUGGUGCCAGUGGUCACUUCCACUGCAUAUUGCUUCGUCUCACUGAAAUACCACAGGACUGCUCGUUCUGCUCCCUUCUGCACACUGAGGGGCACCGACCAUGCCGCUAGCUCCCCAUUCUUGCAUUUCUUGCCAGUUUCUCAUUUUUUGCCUUUCCUGCCUCAAACUGCAAAGAGGGAACUGGGGGGUGGCUGUGGGCUGGCCCAGGUGCUGGCUGUUACCAGCUAGCCCUGUCUGCCUCCUGUGUGGGGCUGGGCAAGGCUAUUAAUGCCUAUGGGCAGGGCAGGCUGCUCCCUGAAGGCUGUGCAGCAGGAGCAACAGGGCAGGCUCCAGCCCCUGGUCCUUCUGCCCCCAGAGAAAGGUGCUUUCAGCUGCAGAGACCCAGCACCUGUGGAUGCACGGCAGUGAUUAUGUUCCCUGAUGCUGGAGCGAUACUGGGGCAACCCAGCGGUGAGUGGUGCAUUGGAGUAAAUAUACUAGCAUCUAAUUCCUGGUUUGGAAUCACAGCUAAAUUCCUUUGGUGUCCUGGCAAACCCGGCUUGGGGAGGGGAAGGAGCACUUCCACCUGGUGG